rnacentral:rRNA from 1 species
CCUACGGGAGGCAGCAGUGGGGAAUAUUGCACAAUGGGGGAAACCCUGAUGCAGCGACGCCGCGUGAGUGAAGAAGUAUUUCGGUAUGUAAAGCUCUAUCAGCAGGGAAGAAAAUGAAGGUACCUGAUUAAUAAGCCCCGGCUAACUACGUGCCAGCAGCCGCGGUAAUACGUAGGGGGCAAGCGUUCUCCGGAUUUACUGGGUGGAAAGGGAGCGUAGACGGCAGCACAAGUCUGGAGUGAAAGGCCGGGGCUUAACCCCCGAACUGCUUUGGAAACUGUUCAGCUAGAGUGCAGGAGAGGUAAGUGGAAUUCCUAGGGUAGCGGUGAAAUGCGUAGAUAUUAGGAGGAACACCAGUGGCGAAGGCGGCUUACUGGACUGUAACUGACGUUGAGGCUCGAAAGCGUGGGGAGCAAACAGGAUUAGAUACCCUUGUAGUC